CCUCCAUUCUGAUCCCGGGAACGUUCUCGCUCAGACUCCCAUCCUCUUGGGCUUCUUUGGGAGCGAUAGUCCAGAUCUUCAUCUCGGAUGGGGAGUCAUCCUGCUGGUUUGCCUGGAUGCGAUAACCACUUCGUACUUCUGAGGAACAGGGGAGGAAUUUGUGGGGUCUUCACCUGAGCUCUGUCGGUCAAAAUCCCCUGCGAAGCCAUUGUGGACAGGAGCCAUCUGGAUCAUGGGUAGAGGGGAAGGAGCCUUGGCUGGAGAGAGGGGUCCAUGCCUUAGUUCUCCAAAUGUGUGAAAUGAGGCUAACACCCUCUACCCAGGUCCUCACUGCCACUGCUGAAGCCUCUACAGGUCUUGACUCAGUGGGUGGCCCUGGACAAACAACUUCCCUUCUCUGUAAAGUCAGACAGCUGGACUAAAUAAUCUGAGAUCCUUUCCACCACCUGUGCUAGGAAUGGAUGAAAAAUGGCGCCAAUAAAAAGAAGAAUGGUUUCUUGCAAAGCUCAGCUCAGGAAUCACCUCUAAGAGUCUUUGCUGAUCCCCCCUCCCCAAUUAAGCAACGAGCAUUGAAGACCUACCAUGUGCCCAGGGCUGGAGAUAGCAUGACAAAAAUAAAAGUCUCUGCCCUCGA